rnacentral:rRNA from 1 species
AGAGUUUGAUCAUGGCUCAGGACGAACGCUGGCGGCGUGCUUAACACAUGCAAGUCGAACGGACUCCAUUCACUCGCAAGAGUGAUGAAGAGUCAGUGGCGAACGGGUGAGUAUCACGUGAGGAACCUGUCCUGGUCUCUGGGAUAACAGCCGGAAACGGCUGCUAAUACCGGAUGCCGUCGGAGCGUCGCAUGGCGCGCUGACGAAAGGGUUACUGGAUCAGGAGGGUCUCGCGGCCUAUCAGCUAGUUGGUGGGGUAACGGCCUACCAAGGCAUCGACGGGUAGCUGGUCUGAGAGGAUGAUCAGCCACACUGGGACUGAGACACGGCCCAGACUCCUACGGGAGGCAGCAGUGGGGAAUCUUGCGCAAUGGGCGAAAGCCUGACGCAGCAACGCCGCGUGCGGGAAGAAGGCCCUCGGGUUGUAAACCGCUUUCAGAAGGAACGAAACUGACGGUACUUUCAGAAGAAGGUGCGGCCAACUACGUGCCAGCAGCCGCGGUGACACGUAGGCACCAAGCGUUGUCCGGAUUUAUUGGGCGUAAAGAGCUCGUAGGCGGUUCGGUAAGUCGGAUGUGAAAACUUUGGGCUCAACCCAAAGCGUGCACUCGAUACUGCUGUGACUAGAGUUCGGUAGGGGAGUGGGGAAUUCCUAGUGUAGCGGUGAAAUGCGCAGAUAUUAGGAGGAACACCGGUGGCGAAGGCGCCACUCUGGGCCGAAACUGACGCUGAGGAGCGAAAGCGUGGGUAGCAAACAGGAUUAGAUACCCCGGUAGUCC